UUCGUACUACCAUGGAAGUCUUUCGCAGAGAGAUAUGGUAGAUGUGGCUGAGAAGAGCAUGACAUAUACUGUUGUGUCGAUAUUUUCUCCUCGGACCUUGAAAAUUUAUGGUGGGGACACGCAAACUUCUCAACAGGCCGUACCAAUAUCCGCAGCUGGUCUCCAAGGUGAAGAGUCUCUAGUCGAUAGAAUAAUGUAGGUAAGGGAAGUCGGCAAAUUAGAUCCGUAACUUCGGGAUAAGGAUUGGCUCUGAAGAUUGAGAUAGUCGGGCUUGAUUGGGAAACAAUAACAUGGUUUAUGUGCUCGUUCUGGGUAAAUAGAGUUUCUAGCAUUUAUGUUAGUUACUUGUUCCCCGGAUAGUUUAGUUACGUAGCCAAUUGUGGAACUUUCUUGCUAAAAUUUUUAAGAAUACUAUUUGGGUUAAACCAAUUAGUUCUUAUCAAUUAUAACGAUUAUCAAUUAACAAUCAAUUCAGAACUGGCACGGACUUGGGGAAUCCGACUGUCUAAUUAAAACAAAGCAUUGUGAUGGCCCUAGCGGGUGUUGACACAAUGUGAUUUCUGCCCAGUGCUCUGAAUGUCAAAGUGAAGAAAUUCAAGUAAGCGCGGGUCAACGGCGGGAGUAACUAUGACUCUCUUAAUGCCGACAAAUGUUUUACCGUUGGCAUUAAGGGCCAGCCGAAACAGAAGUGUACCGUGCUAGAGGCACAGAGCUUUUACGUAGGCUCAAGGGAGAUUCCAUCAUUGAAGCGAACGGACGAGUGGAAGUACUUAGGCAUCAACUUCACUGCAACCGGGAGGGUUCGAUGCAAUCCGGCCGAGGACAUUGGUCCGAAGCUACAAAGAUUGACAAAGGCCCCCCUCAAACCACAACAGAGGAUGUUCGCCCUUAGGACUGUCCUUAUCCCACAGCUCUAUCACAAGUUAGCCCUUGGGAGUGUGGCGAUAGGCGUCCUACGAAAAACUGACAAACUAAUACGAUACUAUGUGCGAAGAUGGCUAAAUCUUCCGCUGGAUAUACCGAUAGCAUUCAUUCACGCACCCCCAAAAAGUGGAGGUCUCGGAAUUCCAUCACUUAGAUGGGUAGCUCCAAUGUUAAGGCUAAGACGUUUGAGUAAUAUUAAAUGGCCUCACCUCACGCAAAACGAGGUAGCCAGCUCUUUCCUCGAAGCAGAAAAACAACGGGCCCGAGAUAGAUUAUUAGCAGAACAAAAUGAAUUGUUAUCGCGUCCGGCAAUAGAAAAAUAUUGGGCGAACAAAUUGUACCUCUCAGUUGAUGGUAGCGGACUCCGUGAAGCAGGCCAUUGGGGCCCGCAACACGGGUGGGUUAAUCAACCCACGCGUUUACUAACAGGAAAGGAAUAUAUAGACGGUAUUCGUCUGCGGAUAAAUGCCCUACCCA
rnacentral:ncRNA from 1 species